UUAGAGAUGGAGUCUCGCUCUGUUGCCCAGGCUGGAGUGCAGUGGUGCGAUCUUGGCUCACUGCAAACUCCUCCUCCAGGGUUUCUACGAAAUAUUCAUUAGCUCAUAAAAGGAUACUCUGCUAACAAGCUGUUGAAGACGCAGAGAGACGAACUACAGUGGGAAAGGCCAUGAGUCCAAUAGAUGUUUUGUGGAACAAAAUCUGAAACCCUGACUAAAAGCAAUAUGCUACACUGUGAAAUUUGAAGAUAGAGGAUGG